rnacentral:lncRNA from 1 species
CUGAGAGUUUCUGACAGUAAUUUUGUUAAGAGAUAUUGAUUUGUUAAUUGUUUUAACUCACUUUUUGUCUUCUCCUUUUAUUUACUCUUAUCCUCAACUGUCAUAUCUGUGAAACUAUGAUUUUGAUGUGCUAGUUUCAGAUUUUUUAAUAUAUAAGAAACUAAACACACAUUAAAAUAAAUGAAAAAAAUGAUACAAUAAAAAAAAAAUUCAUCUGUGUGCCACCUACCAUUAACUUUUAUGCUCUGCCAGUGGUAAGAAUAUAGUCCUCCAUCACUGCUCAGAAAUGUUGCUUAUUAAUGAGGCAGAAAGAGAUUGGACCGUAUCCAACACCUCUGAGUGUUGGAUAGAGGCAGGACUCUGACCCGGACUUGAGGAUUCCACUCCAGACCUUGCCCUCCACACCACCGGCCUCCCUCCUGCACCUCAUCCAUGUUGCCUAGAAGUCCGGGGAUGCAACAGGGAGCUCCAGAAAGCUUGAAGAUUCCCGUGUUCCUUCAAAUCAAGCCCAGAAAUGGAAAUCUGGUGUAGAACUAGUGAGGCAGUGAAGUCCAGCCUUUGAAAACAGAGAGACCUGCCAUGGAGUAAAAGGUAGCCCGCGGCACACUCGGUCACCAGGGCUCUGUCCUGAAGUGAGGCCACUUCAGCUAUUCCCACUCAUCCACGGUGCUAGAAGACUGAAGAUGGGAGCUGUCCCCAAGCCUGCUGACUGACUCCAUAGCCAAGUAACGUCCAAAGAAGGAGGGUGAGCAUCUGUACCUCACGGUUCUAAAUCCUGUCUCCCGUCUCAUUGCCCUAACCUGUACCAGUGCCCCGUGGACACGAAUGCUGGGCUCGUCCCAACACUGCAGGAUCUCCACACAGAAUCCAAAGUAAAUACUCAGAGCAUAAAGAAAACACAUUACAGCCUAAUC